CGUAGGUGGCAAGCGUUGUCCGGAUUUAUUGGGCGUAAAGCGCGCGCAGGUGGUUUCUUAAGUCUGAUGUGAAAGCCCCCGGCUUAACCGGGGAGGGUCAUUGGAAACUGGGAGACUUGAGUGCAGAAGAGGAAAGUGGAAUUCCAAGUGUAGCGGUGAAAUGCGUAGAGAUUUGGAGGAACACCAGUGGCGAAGGCGACUUUCUGGUCUGUAACUGACACUGAGGCGCGAAAGCGUGGGGAGCAAACAGGAUU
rnacentral:rRNA from 1 species